rnacentral:rRNA from 1 species
GUGAGGAAUAUUGGGCAAUGGGCGAAAGCCUGACCCAGCAACGCCGCGUGAGGGAUGAAGGCCUUCGGGUUGUAAACCUCUUUUCUGGGAGAAGAGACAAGGACGGUAUCCCAGGAAUAAGUCUCGGCUAACUACGUGCCAGCAGCCGCGGUAAUACGUAGGAGGCUAGCGUUAUCCGGAUUCACUGGGCGUAAAGCGCACGCAGGCGGUCAUGUAAGUCAGACGUGAAAGCUCCUGGCUCAACUGGGAGAGGUCGUUUGAUACUGCAUGGCUUGAGGUUGGGAGAGGGAAGCGGAAUUCCCGGUGUAGUGGUGGAAUGCGUAGAUAUCGGGAGGAACACCAGUGGCGAAAGCGGCUUCCUGGCCCAUACCUGACGCUCAGGUGCGAAAGCGUGGGGAGCGAACGGGAUUAGAAACCCUUGUAGUCC